rnacentral:rRNA from 1 species
AUUGAACGCUGGCGGAAUGCUUUACACAUGCAAGUCGAACGGUAGAGGGGGCAACCCCUUGAGAGUGGCGAACGGGUGAGUAAUAUAUCGGAACGUGCCCAGUCGUGGGGGAUAACGUAGUGAAAAUUACGCUAAUACCGCAUACGAUCUAAGGAUGAAAGCGGGGGAUCGCAAGACCUCGCGCGACUGGAGCGGCCGAUAUCAGAUUAGGUAGUUGGUAGGGUAAAGGCCUACCAAGCCAACGAUCUGUAGCUGGUCUGAGAGGACGACCAGCCACACUGGAACUGAGACACGGUCCAGACUCCUACGGGAGGCAGCAGUGGGGAAUUUUGGACAAUGGGCGAAAGCCUGAUCCAGCCAUUCCGCGUGCAGGAUGAAGGCCCUCGGGUUGUAAACUGCUUUUGUACAGAACGAAAAGGUUUCUAUUAAUACUAGGAGCUCAUGACGGUACUGUAAGAAUAAGCACCGGCUAACUACGUGCCAGCAGCCGCGGUAAUACGUAGGGUGCAAGCGUUAAUCGGAAUUACUGGGCGUAAAGCGUGCGCAGGCGGUUAUAUAAGUCAGAUGUGAAAUCCCCGGGCUCAACCUGGGAACUGCAUUUGAGACUGUAUAGCUAGAGUACGGUAGAGGGGGAUGGAAUUCCGCGUGUAGCAGUGAAAUGCGUAGAUAUGCGGAGGAACACCGAUGGCGAAGGCAA